CCAAUUGCAGGCAUGGGCACAGUUCGUUGAAGCCACUAGCCAAUCUUAGCAAAUAGAACUAUAAAUUAAGAUCCAAUUUAUUUUAUUUCUCCCUUUGAAGACAACAAAUAUAUCCUAAUCCGCUUUGGCUGGCCUUGAAUAGUGUUGAGUGCAUGCAACUUAAUUUACAUAGAAUAUUUAAUAAAAUAAAUAGUAUAUCCAUCGCUCUUUCGUUUGUUUCCUAAGAGAAUCAUUAUAAGUAGAAUAAUAUUAAAUUAUGAAUAAACGAAAAAAAAAAAGAGUCCCAAAAAAUCACGUACUAAAGAGCAAAGAAGGCGAAGGGAAGCGAAGAGACGAAAAACGUGGAGAGCUUUUAAGAGGUAGAUAACCGAGGAAUCAAUAUCUUUUUAUUAUUAUUAUUAUUCUUCAAAAGAGUAAUGAGGGAGUUUACAUAAUUGCUUCGUU